UGCCAGCAGCCGCGGUAAGACGGAGGGGGCUAGCGUUGUUCGGAUUUACUGGGCGUAAAGGGCGCGUAGGCGGCCCGGCAAGUUGGAAGUGAAAUCCCGAGGCUUAACCUCGGAACUGCUUUCAAAACUGCCAGGCUAGAGUGUGAUAGGGGAUAACGGAAUUCCUAGUGUAGAGGUGAAAUUCUUAGAUAUUAGGAGGAACGCCAGAGGCGAAGGCGGUUAUCUGGAUCAUUACUGACGCUGAGGCGCGAAAGCGUGGGGAGCAAACAGGAUUAGAUA
rnacentral:rRNA from 1 species